GUGCCAGCCGCCGCGGUAAGACGUAGGGAGCAAGCGUUGCCCGGAAUUACUGGGCGUAAAGAGCUCGUAGGCGGGGGCGUGCGUCUGAAAGGAAAUCUCAAGGCUUAACUUUGGGGCUUUUUCAGAUACGGCGCUUCUUGAGGAUGUGAGAGGAAAGUGGAAUUUCCGGUGUAGCGGUGAAAUGCGUAGAUAUCGGAAGGAACACCAGUGGCGAAGGCGACUUUCUGGCACAUUCCUGACGCUGAGGAGCGAAAGCGUGGGUAGCGAACGGGAUUAGAUACCCGUGUAGUCC
rnacentral:rRNA from 1 species